CGCAGCCGCGGUAAUUCCAGCUCCAAUAGCGUAUAUUAAAGUUGUUGCAGUUAAAAAGCUCGUAGUUGAAUUUCGAGAUCAGUACGCCGGUCGUGCCUUCGGUAUGCACUGGUGUCACUGGUUUCUCCCUUCUGAAGAACCAUCAUGCCAUUCAGUUGGUGUGGCGGGGAAUCAGGACUGUUACUUUGAAAAAAUUAGAGUGUUUAAAGCAGGCUCGCGCUUGAAUACAUUGGCAUGGAAUAAUGAAAUAGGACGUUUGACCCUGUUUUGUUGGUUUCUAGGAUCGACGUAAUGAUUAAUAGGGAUAGUUGGGGGCAUUAGUAUUCAAUUGUCAGAGGUGAAAUUCUUGGAUUAUUGAAG
rnacentral:misc_RNA from 1 species